GUAGUCCACGCCCUAAACGAUGAUCACUCGAUGUGUGCGAUACACUGUACGCGUCUGAGCGAAAGCAUUAAGUGAUCCACCUGGGAAGUACGACCGCAAGGUUGAAACUCAAAGGAAUUGACGGGGGCCCGCACAAGCGGAGGAGCAUGUGGUUUAAUUCGAUGAUACGCGAGGAACCUUACCUGGGCUUGAAAGUUAGUGAAUGCUGUGGAAACAUGGCAGCUAGCAAUAGCACAAAACUAGGUGCUGCAUGGCUGUCGUCAGCUCGUGCCGUGAGGUGUUGGGUUAAGUCCCGUAACGAGCGCAACCCCUAUCAUUAGUUGCCAACAGGUCAUGCUGGGGACUCUAAUGAGACUGCCCGCGCAAGCGGUGA
rnacentral:rRNA from 1 species